AGCAGCCGCGGUAAUUCCAGCUCCAAUAGCGUAUAUUAAAGUUGUUGCAGUUAAAAAGCUCGUAGUUGAAUUUCGGGGUCUGUCCAUCGGUCGGGCUUUUUCGGUCCGCACUGUUGCGAUGGAUUCCUUCCUUCUGAAUAACCGAUUUGCCAUUAAUUUAGUGGGUCGGGGAAGCAGGACUAUUACCUUGAAAGAAUUAGAGUGCUCAAAGCAGGCUAGUGCCUGAAUACAUUAGCAUGGAAUAAUAAAAUAGGACGGCAUGGUUCUAUUUUGUCGGUUUCUAGGAUCACCGUAAUGAUUAAUAGGGAUAGUUGGGGGCAUUAGUAUUCAAUUGUCAGAGGUGAAAUUCUUGGAUUUAUUGAAGACUAACUACUGCGAAAGCAUUUGCCAAGGAUGUUUUCAUUAAUCAAGAACGAAAGUUAGGGGAUCGAAGACGAUCAGAUACCGUCGUAGUCUUAACCAUAAACUAUGCCGACUAGGGAUCGGACGAUGUUAAUUUUUUAAUGACUCG
rnacentral:rRNA from 1 species